rnacentral:rRNA from 1 species
GACGGGAGGGGGGGGGAGUGUUCUUCGAAAUGACUGGGCGUAAAGGGCACGUAUGCGGUGAAUUAGGUUGAAAGUGAAGGUCUUCAAAAAGUGGCGGAAUGCUCUCGAAACCAAUUCACUCGAGUGAGACAAAGGAGAGUGGAAUUUCGUGUGGUGGGGUGAAAUCCAUAAAUAUACGAAGGAACGCCAAAAGCGAAGGAAACUCUCUAGGUCCCUACCGACGUUGGGGUGCGAAAGCAUGGGGAGUGAAUAGG